UUGAAAUGGUCAAAUCCCUGAAAUGUGUCACCUUGGUGGAGUGGUGGGCGAUGACUUUCUCGAAUGGAAGACUCAAUUCUCCGCAAUGUUGAGGGAUCAUAAGUUGUUGAAAUAUGUUGAAGGAAAGGAACGGCACCUGUUCGGUGCAAUACGUUUUGCGACACCAAAUCUGACCGUUCUUUUUCUUGACGAAUGGUGGCCGUCCGUUUAGUGUGUCAGCCGGCGUUAGUCCGACGUGACCGUCGGUCGUACGACGUCUCUUGUUUUGCUGCUAUCACCUUACCUGUAACUGUUCUUCUGUCUUUCAAAAAAAUUGUUGAUAAUCGACUCUCAAUGACUUUCGUUCCAGAAAUCGAUUUUUCCUCCUCCUUUCAAUAUCGUGCUAUUCGUCCAUCAGCGUUUUCGUUCUCGCUUGAUAGUCGAUUGUAUUUUCCUCCAUUUCGAUUCCACAUUGCAGAUUUCAGGUAAGAUCAUAAACCUCAACUGCUUUUGCGUGUUCUCUUAGUGUUAUGGUUAAAUCGAUUAGGUUUCUCAUCCUUUGAUUUAAUUAUUUUCCCCCAAAAAUAUCAUACUACUAGGACGAUUUUUCGACCUGGCAUUGAAAAGCAAGCCUUGGUUCUAUUAUUGAAAUCCAUACUAUUCUGAAUUUUUUUUUUCUUGAUAAUCUUCUAACUGUCUUAACUAUUCUAUUUACAUUCAUUCAUAGAUUUCAAACCCGCACCCCUAUUCAUUAGAUAUAUAUUUGGAUAAGAAUUUUGAUGGCAUGUGAAUCAUCAAAACUAUUGGCAAUUAAAUAUAUUCGGAUAAUAAUAAUACAUUAGAAAAUUGAGUAAUAGUUAAUUUUUUAUAUUGUAAUUAAUUAUAACUGUUUUAAUUAGAAUGACACAAAAUUUCUAGUCAUAAGAAUGACAAAAUAGAUUACUAGGUAUAUCAAAUGUGGAGUUAAAUAAUAAUUACAAAUAAAUUCUCUUUUCUGUUAUGUUUCUAUUAUAGGGGUCUUAUCUUUAUGUAUGUACCAGUAAAACUGGGCAAUCUUUUUCCUGCAGAAGCUGAUCACUAGGAUGCUGUAAAGAUGGAAAAGACUUUGGCAAGGAACCCACAUGAGGACUGGUUCCCGAAAGGUUGCAAAUGUGCUUUGAUCAGGGAUCAUUCUUCAAAUAUUCUCAGAGUAGUGAAACUGCAUCAAACACUGGGAAAAUAUUACAUACAUAACAAACUAUUAAAACUGCAUUAAGUAAAAGACCAUUUCCAAUGUUUGGUUAAUUUUAUGUUAAUUAAAACUUCCUUGACAAACCAUACAUAUGUCACUUUCUUCUCGAGUAGAAUCAUUUCUGUCCAAUUAUGGAAAUGUCUCUGUGAGUCUUUUAAUCUAUCGGUUCAUAAAUAAAUAACAA
rnacentral:lncRNA from 1 species